UACGUAGGGGGCUAGCGUUAUCCGGAAUUACUGGGCGUAAAGGGUGCGUAGGUGGUUUCUUAAGUCAGAGGUGAAAGGCUACGGCUCAACCGUAGUAAGCCUUUGAAACUGGGAAACUUGAGUGCAGGAGAGGAGAGUGGAAUUCCUAGUGUAGCGGUGAAAUGCGUAGAUAUAUGGAAGAACACCAGUGGCGAAAGCGGCUCUCUGGUCUGUAACUGACGCUGAGGUUCGAAAGCGUGGGUAGCAAACAGG
rnacentral:rRNA from 1 species